rnacentral:rRNA from 1 species
UGGGGAAUUUUGGACAAUGGGCGAAAGCCUGAUCCAGCAAUGCCGCGUGUGUGAAGAAGGCCUUCGGGUUGUAAAGCACUUUUGUCCGGAAAGAAAUCCUUGGCUCUAAUACAGUCGGGGGAUGACGGUACCGGAAGAAUAAGCACCGGCUAACUACGUGCCAGCAGCCGCGGUAAUACGUAGGGUGCAAGCGUUAAUCGGAAUUACUGGGCGUAAAGCGUGCGCAGGCGGUUUGCUAAGACCGAUGUGAAAUCCCCGGGCUCAACCUGGGAACUGCAUUGGUGACUGGCAGGCUAGAGUAUGGCAGAGGGGGGUAGAAUUCCACAUGUAGCAGUGAAAUGCGUAGAGAUGUGGAGGAAUACCGAUGGCGAAGGCAGCCCCCUGGGCCAAUACUGACGCUCAUGCACGAAAGCGUGGGGAGCAAACAGGAUUAGAUACCCUGGUAGUCCACGCCCUAAACGAUGUCAACUAGUUGUUGGGGGAUUCAUUUCCUUAGUAACGUAGCUAACGCGUGAAGUUGACCGCCUGGGGAGUACGGUCGCAAGAUUAAAACUUAAAUGAAUUGACGGGGUCAUAGCUGUUUCCU